rnacentral:rRNA from 1 species
UACGGAGGGUGCAAGCGUUAUCCGGAUUCACUGGGUUUAAAGGGUGCGUAGGUGGGUUGGUAAGUCAGUGGUGAAAUCUCCGAGCUUAACUUGGAAACUGCCAUUGAUACUAUUAAUCUUGAAUAUUGUGGAGGUCAGCGGAAUAUGUCAUGUAGCGGUGAAAUGCUUAGAGAUGACAUAGAACACCGAUUGCGAAGGCAGCUGGCUACACAAAUAUUGACACUGAGGCACGAAAGCGUGGGGAUCAAACAGG